GAUGAACGCUGGCGGCGUGCCUAAUACAUGCAAGUCGAACGCGCAGCGAAAGGUGCUUGCACCUUUCAAGCGAGUGGCGAACGGGUGAGUAACACGUGGAUAACCUGCCUCAAGGCUGGGGAUAACAUUUGGAAACAGAUGCUAAUACCGAAUAAAACUUAGUAUCGCAUGAUAUAAAGUUAAAAGGCGCUACGGCGUCACCUAGAGAUGGAUCCGCGGUGCAUUAGUUAGUUGGUGGGGUAAAGGCUUACCAAGACACUGAUGCAUAGCCGAGUUGAGAGCCUGAUCGGCCACAUUGGGACUGAGACACGGCCCAAACUCCUACGGGAGGCUGCAGUAGGGAAUCUUCCACAAUGGGCGCAAGCCUGAUGGAGCAACGCCGCGUGUGUGAUGAAGGCUUUCGGGUCGUAAAGCACUGUUGUAUGGGAAGAAAUGCUAAAAUAGGGAAUGAUUUUAGUUUGACGGUACCAUACCAGAAAGGGACGGCUAAAUACGUGCCAGCAGCCGCGGUAA
rnacentral:rRNA from 1 species